rnacentral:rRNA from 1 species
GCAACUCGACUACAUGAAGCUGGAAUCGCUAGUAAUCGCGGAUCAGAAUGCCGCGGUGAAUACGUUCCCGGGUCUUGUACACACCGCCCGUCACACCAUGGGAGGUCGAUAACGCCCGAAGUCAGUGACCCAACCUGUAAGGAGGGAGCUGCCGAAGGCGGGAUUGAUAACUGGGGUGAAGUCGUAACAAGGUACC